rnacentral:tRNA from 1 species
AAUAAGGUGCCUGAAUAAAGGAUUAUUUUGAUGGAAUAAAAAAUGCAUUUAUGCCCUUAUUA